AGGGCAUUCUCUAUUCUUGAGAGUCAAAAUUGAACCAUGAAAGUAUACAGCGAAACAAGAAGAAGCAGAAGAAAGCUUAUCAUCGGCUGUACUUCCUCGGAACAUUCAUUCGCUGCUGAAUUAAUUGCCAACAAUUCAGAUCUCCUAACACAGAUCCUAAUCCGAGUCCCAGCAAAAUCCCUAAUCAGAUUCAAGUCGGUGUCAAAGCAAUGGCUCUCUCUCAUCUCCCACUCCCAAUUCGCCUCCGACCACGCUCGCCGAAAUCACCACUCCUCCGUCUCAGCCUUAUAUUUCUACUCAAACCGUUGGUCUCCCGAUGAACAACUACAGUCUGUAUCAAUUGCUGGAUACCAAGCUCUUCUUCCCACACUCUCCUUUCUCGAUGGUGUCGUUGUAUCAAGUUCUGCAACUACGAUUGAACGCUCUUGCAAUGGUUUAAUCUUGUGCUCUAAUGGUUUCAGAAAACAUCCAUAUAUUGUUUGUAAUCUCACCACAAAGAAAUUCUCACUUCUUCCUGCUAUUGGUCCCACUUCAUCUGAAUCGUAUCGUAAAAAUGCUGCUGCUUUCUUGGCUUUUGAUCCUGCGAAAUCGCCUCACUAUAAAGUUUUAUUGUUUAGUUACAGUUAUGUUAAUAAUGAACACUGGGUUGAAAUUGAAAUUUACAGUUCGCAGACUUCGUCUUGGAAACACGUUUCUGUGCCUGAACCGCGAGCUGUGCCAUUCAUGUUCAGCGUGUUUUGGAACGGAGCAAUUCAUGGUAUAAGCUAUGCGAAUGUUCAUGCUCGAUUUGAGGUUGAGGAAGAGAAGUUUAUACAAACCCCAAUGCCUCGAAACCCUAAAAUCCUUUCUCCUGAUAAGAUUAGGUAUUUUGGAGAAUGUGGUGGCGAUUUGCUUCUUAUUCAGUCUCCUCAGCCUUGUGCUAUGGGAUUAAGCAUCCUUCGGAUGCACAGGGAUUACUGCGAGUGGAUUGUGAAGUACCGGGUUAAUCUUAGACCCAUUUUAUCUGUAUUUCCUAAGACAGAACGCAAAACCAUAGUCACAUGCUCUGAAUUUAAUGUGCUCUGUGCCGUGAAGGGAGUGAAUGAAAAAGAUUUUACACUGGUGUUAGCUAUCCGGGGCAAAGUUAUUUCUUAUAAUGUCAAGUCCAAGACAUUGAAGGAGCUUCGUGAUUUAUCAACAGAAGAUACUGUUUAUUGGGGAGCAAGUUGGUGUAAUACUACUUAUCAAUUCAUUGAAAGCCUAUCACCUGUUUGAUCAUUGUCCUACAUGUUUCUACUUCUUUCUUCAGCAGAUGGAUUGGAUGUCUAAGCAGCAGAUUGGGACCGACUGUAGAGUUGGAGAGCUUUACGUAGUGGAGACGUCUAUGUGGUGGAGAGCUUGGCCUAUAGCAACCUCUCAAACUGCCUUUUCCUCUUUACAGGAAAAAUGACGAACAACAAAAGAAAGCUAAUUAUUGGCUACAAUUCAUCGGAACAUACACCAGCUGCAGAAUUAAUUGGCAGCAAUGCAGAUAUCCUAACAGAGAUCCUUACCUGUGUGCCGGCAAAGUUCCUCAUCAGAUUCAAGUGCGUGUCUAAGGAUUGGCUCUCUUUAAUCUCCGAUUCACAAUUUUCUUGCAACCACUCUCACCGAGAUCCCAAUGCCUUGUUCUCAGGACUAUUCAUCAACCCUUGUACAUCAGACAAUGCACAAGUCAAGUCUGUCUCACUUAACGGCCACCACCGAAGUCUUCCGACUGUGUCAUUCCUAAAUGGUGUUGGAGAUGGGUCUGGUACAUAGAGGAUUGAAGACUCUUGCAAAGGCUUACUGUUGAAUGGCACAUGUUUCAUUGUUUGUAACCUGACCACCCAGAAAUACACAGUACUUCCCUAUCCCUAUCAUGGUGGCACUACAUCAUCUUCUGUACAAUUUCAUCUCAAGUUUGGUGUUUUCUGGAGUUCAUCUGGAUCAUUGGGUAAUAUGUUUGGUGGUUAUUUAGUUUUUGAUCCUUCAAAAUCACCUAACUACAAAGUUUUAUUGAUAAGUUACAUUAGGAAUAGUGAUGGAUGCUUUUACUUAAUUGACAUAUACUCUUUGGAGAGUGCCUCUUGGACAUACAUGUGUGCCACUGCCCCACCAGGUUACUCUUUCACAAAAAGGUAUUUUGGAAUGGGGCAAUUCAUUGGAUGAGUUACGAUAACAUUUACAUUCGAUUGGAUGUUGAUGCUCAGAAGCUAAUAGGAACUCCAAUGCCUUCAUACCCUAAAAUUCUUUCCGAAGAGAAGAUUUGGUAUUUUGGAGAAUGCUGUGGCCAUUUACUUCUUGUUCAGCUUUGUCAGUGCUGUGCUUUGGGAUUCAAAAUUCUUGAGAUGGAGAGGGACUGCUGUCAUUGGAUGUAGAAGUACCAGGUGAGUCUUGGACCUAUAAUAUCUCUUUUUCCCGAGAUAGAUGAGAGACGCAGACUCAUGCUUGAAACGCCCAGCUUCGGUAAAAUUUCUGUACUAUGUGCUGUGAAGGGAGCAAAUGAAAAAGAUUUUACGUUGGUGUUAUCUAUUCCUGGCAAAAUUGUUUCCUAUAAUCUGAAGUGCAAGACAGGUGAAGGUGCUUUGUGAUUACCAAACUAGCUUUUAUGAAUGUCCUGGUUACAAGGAUGCUUCUUGUUCAUCAUAUGCUUUUAAGUAUGUUUAUGAAUUCCAUGAAAGCCUGGCCACUGUUUGAGCUUGUUCUACAUGUUGGAGCAGAUGUGCCUUUUGUAACCUUCUUAUUGUUCUAAAGCUUUUGUUUAGUACUGUUUUUUUUUUUUUUUUAAGAAUUCUGUAAUGUCUAAGCUAUGUUUUUCAUGAACUUCUACCUUUUGAAAGUAAGGCAGGCCCUCUCAUUUGGGGAUUUAUGGUGUCAAA